rnacentral:Y_RNA from 1 species
GGCUGGUCCAAGUGCAGUGGUGUUUACAACUAAUUGAUCACAACCAGGGACAGAUUGUUUGGUUCCCUCUCCACUCCCAUUUCACUUGACUAGCCUUAA